UACGUAGGCAGCGAGCGUUGUUCGGAGUUACUGGGCGUAAAGAGUGCGUAGGCGGUUUUCUAAGUUUGGUGUGAAAUCUCCCGGCUUAACUGGGAGGUGCGCCGAAGACUGGAAGGCUUGAGUAUGGGAGAGGUAAGCGGAAUUCCUGGUGUAGCGGUGAAAUGCGUAGAUAUCAGGAGGAACACCAGCGGCGAAGGCGGCGCUCUGGGCCGGUACUGACACUGAGGAGCGAAAGCGUGGGUAGCAAACAGG
rnacentral:rRNA from 1 species